ensembl:snRNA U6 U6 spliceosomal RNA
ACACUCACUUCGGCAGUAUGUAUACUAAAAUCGGAACAAUACAGAGAAGAUUUGCAUGGCCCCUGAGCAAGGACGACAUGGAAAUUCAGGAAGUAUUCUCACUUUCU